GAUGAACGCUGGCGGCGUGCCUAAUACAUGCAAGUCGAGCGAACAGACGAGGAGCUUGCUCCUCUGACGUUAGCGGCGGACGGGUGAGUAACACGUGGAUAACCUACCUAUAAGACUGGGAUAACUUCGGGAAACCGGAGCUAAUACCGGAUAAUAUAUUGAACCGCAUGGUUCAAUAGUGAAAGACGGUUUUGCUGUCACUUAUAGAUGGAUCCGCGCCGCAUUAGCUAGUUGGUAAGGUAACGGCUUACCAAGGCAACGAUGCGUAGCCGACCUGAGAGGGUGAUCGGCCACACUGGAGCUGAGACACGGUCCAGACUCCUACGGGAGGCAGCAGUAGGGACUCUGCCGCACUGGGCGAAAGCCUGACGGAGCAACGCAGCGUGAGUGAUGAAGGUCUUCGGAUCGUAAAACUCUGUUAUUAGGGAAGAACAAAUGUGUAAGUAACUAUGCACGUCUUGACGGUACCUAAUCAGAAAGCCACGGUUAACUACGU
rnacentral:rRNA from 1 species